CGCGUGGGACAACUCCGUUUAACGUUACGAAAAGGUUAAGUAAGAGAUCUUGUAUAUAGGGCCUAAUUUGGCUUUAUUUUGGGUUUAGGUCGCGGGAGAGGCGUCCUAAAAUCACGAGAGUCAAACUACAACCCAUCUACAAUAUUUAAGGUGGGGGGUGCACGCCGGAAUCGUUGGAUUCCCUCCUAUGUCUAUUUCACCUUUUCAUUUGAGCAUAUUGAUGUAUAAUCAUUCAUGCAUAGUAGGGUUAGAUUACAUGUGAACCUUGGUUAGACAUCAUUUAUAUCCUUCUAAUGUAGUUGAACAUAGAGAAUGAUAGAACCAUAAUGGACAUGUAUGGUAGAACCCUAAAGUUGUAUGAAUGUGAGACUUAGACUUGGACAAUAAUAAACAAAGGUGACAUUGACAUUAGAGACAUGAUUGGCAUUGAGAGAUGAAUUGUUAAACAUAGUUUAACCAAUUGUGGCAUUGUGGCAAGAAUGACCUAGAGAGUGGCAUGAAUAAAUAGGUAGAAACCUAUUAUGAUAGUGGCAUUGUGACUAGUGGCUAUACAUUCCCUAAGUGGAAAUUGGAUCGAUACUCGCGAUAAGUCUUGGC
rnacentral:lncRNA from 1 species